rnacentral:rRNA from 1 species
UGCAGUCUGCAACUCGACUGCAUGAAGCUGGAAUCGCUAGUAAUCGCGAAUCAGAAUGUCGCGGUGAAUACGUUCCCGGGUCUUGUACACACCGCCCGUCACACCAUGGGAGCCGGCAACGCCCGAAGUCAGUGGCCUAACCGAGAGGGAGGAGCUGCCGAAGGCGGGGCUGGUAACUGGGGUGAAGUCGUAACAAGGUAGC